CAAUAGCGUAUAUUAAAGUUGUUGCGGUUAAAAAGCUCGUAGUUGGAUUUCUGUUGGGAACGACCGGUCCGCCCAUUGGGUGUGUAUCUGGCUUGUUCUCGGCAUCUUCUUGGUGAACGUUGCUGCACUUGACUGUGUGGAGCGCUACCCAGGACUUUUACUUUGAGGAAAUUAGAGUGUUUCAAGCAGGCAUAUGCCUUGAAUACAUUAGCAUGGAAUAAUAAGAUAGGACCUCGGUUCUAUUUUGUUGGUUUCUAGAGCUGAGGUAAUGAUUAAUAGGGAUAGUUGGGGGCAUUCGUAUUUAACAGUCAGAGGUGAAAUUCUUGGAUUUGUUAAAGACGGACUACUGCGAAAGCAUUUGCCAAGGAUGUUUUCAUUGA
rnacentral:rRNA from 1 species